rnacentral:lncRNA from 1 species
AGAGCCUCAAAGAGCACCCAGCAUAACUGUGGGAGAAUAGUAAGCAUUGGACACAAAAUGGUUUAGGCAAAUAAUGAUGAACAAAAAUGGUCAGUCUGUGUUCCUGCUGACCCAGCACAGUGGGGACGCUGUGUAGGACAUGACCUUUGGGGGAAAGGACACAAGAACUCAGCGUGGGGGAUCCAGAAAAGAAGUCGCACGUAUUGAAGCCAGUAACGCCAAGCCAGUGAAUUCUCCUUGACGAGAAAGACCCACUUACUCUGCAGAAGAGAUAUAUGACAGCUGACAAUCCCUGGAGGAGAAUCUUUCUACUAAAUUGGCAUCUAUUCAACGAAGACGAAUCCUGGAAUGGGGAUGGAAAUGAUGGCUCAUGUCUUAGCAAACUACCAGUACGUCUACUAGAACCGGAACUGAUCCGAGAGGACAGGGAAGUCAGUGUGGGCGGCUCUAAGGAGCCUCCCUCUCUACAGCUGCGGCUCAGAGGAUUACGGCGCUUCAUCCACAAGGCAACAUUGCACAAGUAGCUUUUGAACAAAAGUCAUGGAUACUAUUAAUGAUAUGGUAAUCCUUAAUCGAGCUACCUCCCAGUAGUGAUUAUACUGACAUGGGAAGAAUAUCUAAGUCGUGGAGGCAGCCCACAACAACACUGUGUCAUUGUUCACCCCGGGCUCGACCAGGACUAACUUUUACCAGCAUCUCUAACGUCACCUUUCCCCUGAUGCCUCCCCACAACCCCUGGCCCCAGCUCCCAUUCCCGCCCCAUCAUAGCAAAAAAGUAGCAAAGAAAACCCUGAUCCUAAAUCUUUUUCUGGAUUUUUUUUUGCAAGUUCCCACACACAUUUAGUGUCGUCUCAAAAUUCACGCUGUCAACUGUCUCUAGGAAUCAUUUCCAUCUGAGAACAGACCACACAAAGGUUAGUUCGGUGGGUCUCAGUGAAGAUGUUUUAAUUGUCUGACAAUAGAUUCUUCCAUCAUUUGACUUGCAAAUACUGUCCUCUUGCUCUCAGAUAACAUGUUCAGAAUUAGACCAUUUGUCAAUAAAUUUCCCAAAACUCCUUAA